rnacentral:rRNA from 1 species
GAUUUAGAAGAGCUAAAUAAUAAUUAAUUAUAGGAAAGUUCUUAUAAAUAUUGCAGAUAUUUAAAAUAAAUGUUUAUUUAGGGGUGAAAUGCUUACAAUUCUUAGAAUAACUGGAUUUAAUUAAAAUGCAUUAAGUGCAGAAUAAUUUUUGACCUUCAAAGUGUUAAGAAUUUGAAGAAAUUUUUAAGUUUAAUUUACCUUCAUUAUAAGAAUUAACUUUCUUAAUAAUUAAAAACUUAAAAAUUUAUUUUAUAAAAGAUUAAAUAAACUAAAUUAAAAAAUGUUUUAACAAAUACACAUAUCUAUAAUGUUAAAAUAAGUAUAUUUAUUUAAAUCUUUUUUAGGAACUCGGCAAAAAUUUUUUUUCGACUGUUUAACAAAAACAUAGCUUUAUGAUAUAAUAUAAAGUUUUUCCUGCCCAGUGAUUUUUUUAACGGCCGCAGUACCCUGACUGUGCUAAGGUAGCAUAAUAAAUUGGCUUUUAAAUGAGGUCUAGUAUCAACGGAUAAACGGAGAAUUGCUGUCUUUGAAAGAUUAGCUAAAAAUUAACUUUAAGGUGAAAAUGCCUUUAAUUUUUUAUAGACAAGAAGACCCUUAGAAUUUUUAGAAAUUUUUUCUUUUUCUUUUUGUUGGGGCGACAAGGUAACAAUUAACUUACCUAUAAAAUUUAUACAUAUCAAUAAUAAUAGUAAAGGUUAAAUUACCUGAGGGAUAACAGCAUAAUAAAUUUUUUUGUUUGUGACCUCGAUGUUGGAUUAGGUUAUUAUAAAACUAGCCGUUUUAUUUUUUUGUUCUGUUCGAACAUUUAUUCCUACAUGAUCUGAGUUCAGACCGGCGUAAGCCAGGUCAG